rnacentral:lncRNA from 10 species
CUGUAAUCCUGGCUACUCGGGAGACUGAGGCAGGAGAACUACUUGAACCUGGGAGGCAGAUGUUGCGGUGAGGUGAGAUCAUGACAUUGCACUCCAGCCUGGGCAACAAGAGUGAAACUGUCUCAAUAAAUAAAUAAAUAAAUAAAUAAAUAAAUAAAUAAACAAACAAACAAACCUAAAAUUUAUAUGGUACCACAAAAGACCCUGAAUAGCUAAAGCAACCAAACAGAAAAAAAAUAAAAAAAUAAAAAUAGGCUGAAGGUAUCACUAUACCUGACUUUGAAAUAUACUACAAAGUAUAGUAACCAAAACAGUAUAGUACUUGAAUAAAAACAGACACAUAGGCCAAUGGAGCAGAAAAGAGAUCAGAAAUAUAUCCACGUAUUUAAGCUAACUUAUUUUAUAAUUUCUUUUAAAAAGGACAGUCUCUUCAACAAAUGGGGUUGAGAAAACUUUAUAUCCACAUGCAGAGAAAUAAAAUGAGAUCCUCUUCUCACACCACAUAUAAAAAUCAACUAAAAUUAGAUACUUAAAUGUAAGGCUUAAAACUCAGAAAUUACCAUAAAAAUAUAGAUUGAAAGCCCAUAACAUUGAUCUAGGCUGUGACUUUUAUUAUUUAACCUCAAAAUCCAAGGAAAUCAAAAGAAAAAUAGAUACGUUAGAUUACUUGAAAUUAAAAAGCUGCUUCAUGGAAUCUGAUACAAUCAACAAAAUGAGACAACUGAAAAAAAUGGGAGAAAAUAUUUGCAAAUCAUACGUGGGACAAAGGGUUAAUAACAGAAACAUAUAAACAACUUAAAUGACUAUACAACAGAAGACAAAUAACUAUUAAAAAUGAGCAAAAGGCUUAAAUAUUUUUCAAGAAAAGACAAAUGGUCAAGAUAUAUAAAAAAUGCUCAAUAUCAACUAUAAUCAGGAAAGCAAAAAGAAAAACCAGGAGAUUAUCAACUCACUCCUGUUAGAAUUACUCUUACUAAAAAGAAAAGAAAGUGUUAGUCAAAGUAUGAAGAAAAGGAAUGCUUGCACACUGUUGGUUUGAAUGUGAAUGAGGAGAGUCACUAUGAAAAACAAAAAUUUGUCAAAAAAUUUAAAAUUAAACCACAAUACAGCAAUUUUACUGUAUAUAUCCAAAACAAGUGAAAUCAGAAUGAAGAAACAUUUAUGCUUCUAUGUUGUUUGCAACACUCUUCACAAUUACCAAAAUACACAAUCAACAGUUCAACAUUUAUGAGUAAAUAAAGACAAUGUGGUACAUAUACACAAUGGAAUACUCUUCGUCUUUAAAAAAGAAAUUUCUAUUAUUUUCAAUCACAUGAAUUAACCUGGAGGACAUCAUAUUUGUCUACAUGAGCCAGACACAAAGAUUAUUUUUCAUGAUUUUACUUACACAGGGAUUCUAAGAAACUUAAUCCCAUUAAAGUAGAGAGUAAAGUGGUGACCACCAGACACCAAGGUAUUUAGAAAAAAGGGGGGUUUUGGAAGAUGUUGGUCAAAGAAUACAUAAUUAUAGUUUAAUAGGAGGAAUAAGUUUAAGAGAUCUUUUUGUACAGCAUAGUGACUACAGAUCAUAAUAAUGUAGUUGUGUUUUUGAAAAACAUUGACAAUGUCACAUACUCUGACCACAAAAAUGUUAACGAUGUGAGGUAAAGCCUUAAUUACCUAGAAUUAAGCAUUUGACAACAUAUACUUCCAAACAUCAUGUUUUGCAGAAUAAAGUACACAUUUAUUUAUUACAGAUGGUAAUGGCAUGAAAGACACUAAAAGGGCAGCUGUUGCUUAUGGUCUCAUGACUGGCCACCCUGUGAACACAAUAAAUGAAUUUGCAUAAAAAUAACAGAAAAUGUUUAAUCAAAAAGCUGCCAUAAUCUUCAAAAGUUUUCUAGAGAAAAUGACCAAGAAGCUGACUAUAGUUAGGUGACAAAAAGCAAUAACUGUACACUCACCUUCACCCACUAAAAAAAUAAUGAGUGAAAAAUUCCUCGGAAUUGUAAUAUCAAUAUAAAAAAGAAAUAUCAUUCCAAAUAUCAAAUCCACAGAAGUCAUUUUAUUAUUUUGCAACCUUUAAAUUUCACAUUUAAAAAUAAAAGAUUCUGCAUGGAAAUGUAUGUUAUGCUAUAUCAUAGAAAAUUAAAUUUAAAAUUCUUCACUUACCAUUUGCUCUCUUAUAACUUAAUUUCUAAGAUGUAUUUUCUAGCAAAUUUUAUAUUUGCCACAAUAUAUUUGCACUCCAGCCUGGGCAAUAAGAGUGAAACUCUGUUUAAUAACUCCGUUUAAAAAUUUAAUAAGUUUUUCCUUUUACAAACAGAAAAAAAUAAUGCUAACUGAUUUAAUCCUCUCACCUGUGGACAAUGUAUGCCUUUUAUCUUAAUUAACUGAUCAGAAAGUUAUAUUGAUAAGUACUCUCCAAUAAAAAGCAAUUUUUGAGUGCAUUAAAAAUACCAACUUUCUCAUCAAAACCUACAAAGUACUGUAUAAAAUGACAUGGCAUGAAGACAACAGUGAGCAAAGUGUAGCCAUCACAUAGAAAAAGAAGGAGAAGGGCUGUGAUGAAUACACAGAAGUCACAUAAUAAGACAAACAAAACUAAAGGUAAUUAGGAAAUAAAAGAACCAAAAUUUCUUUUUAAAUUCAGCAAAAUUUAGCUUUGCAGCAUGGAAAAAAAAUGUUAUCUGCACAUGAAGAAUCAAUGUUAUUUCUUCACUAUUGGUAUUUUCCAUCUCUGACUUGAAGUUACAAACUAACUCCAGCAGGAAUGUUUACAGGUUAUUAUGGAACAUCUGUUACACAGCAAGCACUGUCAUAUUUGUUUGCCACAUAUAUAUAUAAAAACAUCCUCAUGACUUAUGAAGCAUUCCUAGUUCUUACCUGAACAAAUUGGCUCAAUAAAUAAAUAAAUUUACUUAUGUCAAUUAUAACAAGAGAAAAGAAUAAGAAAUAUAGGCUUAUAUAGGAUUCUCCAAUUAAAAGAACAAAUGGAAUGUUCUAACUAAAUAUAAUUAAUACACAAUUUUGGAAAUACAUCUAAAACUUAUCUUGUGUGCAGUACUGAAUUUUAUAAAAAUCAUUCUUAUAAUCCAUGAACAGCUCACAUAAUACCUCAUAAAGUAUAAAAGAAAAAAAUGGUAAGAAACAAGAAAAUUAUAGGUCUAGCAUGACUAACAGGCAAGUAAAAACAUAAUUUGCAUGGAGAGAUUCUGAAUCAUAAGUCAGAAGAUUUGGCAGUAAUGAAUUCAAUACAAAGCAGAGUAUACAUUUACUUUCAGCAUUUUUGAAGUUUUCAGUUGUCUAGUACAUUACUUUAUUAAAAUAUUUGUUUUGCUCCAAUAUUGCUCUUUUCUUUUGAAAAUAGGUACAAACUCACACUCACACAAAAACAGUCCAUAACUUUCUUGCACUUAACAUUUAUUUUUAGAGUAAUAUAUGGGUAUAGUUAACUCUAUGUAAACCAAUACUAAAAUUCUGUUAUGUUUGCAGGCAGAGAGACAUGUUCAAAGAAAAAUACAUAACAAAAUUUUUAAAAUGUUUAAGCAGGACUCAGAAUUUUAAGACUCAGGAUUUUAUUUAUACUUGUAUAUAAUUUUUAUUAUACCCAUGAAAAUGACCCUAUAGUCAAUAGCAAUUUACUUGUACAUUUUAAAGUAACUAAAAGUGUAGAAUCGGUUUGUAAUACAAAUGAUAAAUGCUGGAGUUGAUGGAUAUUUCAUUUGCCCUGAUGUGAUUAAUACCUAUUCAUAUGCCUGUAUCAAAAUAUGCCAUAUAUGGCAUAAAUAUAUACACACACUAUGUACCCACAAAAGUUAAGAAAAAUAUGUUUAAAUAAGAAAAAGAAUAAAAAUUUAACCUAUGGGAACAAUGUUCUUUAAUUAAGUUCUUUAGUUUAAAGUCACUGGCAAGAGAAAUUAUUAGAGAUGUUAGUCCACUCUGUUAUUAAAUAGUACAUUGUUACUAUCUUUUACCAACACCCUUGAGUAAGGUGGGAUAGGUUGAAGUUAGUGGCAUGAUAAUACUUCACUGAAUGCACAAUUGGUCUUAACAUGUUAAAAAAAAAGUUUAAUUAAAAAAUUAAGUUCACAAUAAUCUAAAAUUUUUUAAAUGUGCUGCAUUUUAUUACAUAAAAGUACAGUUAGUAAAAUGAUAUACUACUAAUUUUAAUUUAAUUUUAACUAAAAUAAAAGAUAUUUUCACUAGAAUGCAGAAUAUUCCUCUGAACACUUCCCUCAUACAUCAUUCAAUAUUAUAAAUUAAACACAAAGAGCCUCUCCACUUAGAUUUUUAUCAUGCAUCCUACAUUGUAAUGUCUUUACUCUUCCAUAGAAAAGGUAAAAAAUAUUGCCCACCUAACAAAAAAGAAUGUCUCAUAUCUUUGAUGAAGCAGCAAUUGAUCACAUGCUUUCACAUGUGAAUACAAUAGAAUGAAAAGCAUGAAGUAAUUUGAGUUGAAUUACAUCAUUCACUUUUUAAAAAUUUUGUAAUUUUUUCAAAGAAAAAAGUAUACUUUAAAUGUAAUUAUAACUAAAAAUAUUUCUACCUCUUUUAAAGUUAUAUAUAAAUAAUUUAUCUACCAACUUUAAUUUUGGAUUAUUUUCUGUACUCAGCACACUGAUUAGUUCAAUGUCUAAAAUGUCAGUGCCUUAGAUAUUUCUACUGUGAAUUCUCUGAUAUUUACACACACUUAAUUUUGGAUUAAAUUUCUUUUAUACUUACUGCAUCUGCAAAAAUAUAUUUUAGUAUAAAUCCCCUGGUGUUUUCUAAGCAGUAGUUUUUGAAAAAUGUUUUUCCAAAUAUAUUACAUUUGCAGUUUUUCUCCAAUAUAAACUCCCUGAUGUUGAUCAAAGUUUGAGCACUGCUUCAGGAUUUUCCUUUAGUACAUAAUGUGUACAAUAAAAUCUGUGAUACAAAUAAAGACACUACAACCCUCUUUAUGUACCUAAUGUUUGUCUUCAAAAUGAAAACCUUCUUCUCUUUAAAGGCUUAUAUUUGUCAGGCACAGUGACUCACACCUAUAAUCCCAGCACUUUGGGAGGCAGAGGCAUGUGGAUCACUUGAGGUCAGGAGUUCAAGAUCAGCCUGGCCAACAUGGUGAUAGCCAGUCUCUACUAAAAAUAAAAAAAUUAGCCAAAUGUGGUGGUGUGUGCCUGUAGUCUCAGCUACUCUGGAGGCUAAGGCAGGAGAAUUGCUUGAACCUGGGAGGCAGAGGUUGCAGUGAGCCAAGAUCACACCACUGCACUCCAGCCUGGGUGACAGAGCAAGACUCCAUCUAAAAAAAAAAAAAAAACUUUCAUUUUCUGAUUUUACACUAAUUGCUUUUAUAAUGCUUUUAUUAAGCACUAACUCUCUAAUGUUGAGUAAGAUGUAAGCAGAUAUUAAUGGCUUUUCCACAUUUAUAUUUGUACAAUUUUUCUGAAGUGCUUUCCUGUGCUAUAAGGUGUGAAAAAUUAAAAGUUUUGCCACAUUCUUCACACUUCUGGGAGUUUCCUCCAGUAUAAAUUAUCUUACCUACAAUCAAGUGUGACAACCAUUUAAAGGCUUUGUACCAUUCUUCAUAUUUUUAAGAUUUCUCACCAGUAUGAUUUAUUUUAUGUUUAGAAAAGUUUGAAGGUGUUGUCAAAAUCAUUGUCACAUCUUUCAGGUUUGUAAAGUUUCCAGUAUUAAUUUUCUUAUGUUUAGUAAAGUUUGAGAUUUAGUUACAAGCAUUGCCACAUUCUUCACAUUUGCAGGGUUUCUCUCAAAUAUGAAUUGUCUUAUGUGGAGUAAGGGUUGAUGAUAGGUUAGCUUUGCCACAUUCUUCACAUUUGUAGGGUUUCUCUCCAAUAUGAAUUUUCUUAUGUUUAAUAAGGUUUGAUGAUCAAUUAAAAGCUCUGCCACAUUCUUCACAUUUGUAGGGUUUCUCUCCAGUAUGAAUUCUUUUAUGUGUAGAAAGGGUUGAAGAUUGGUUAAAAGCUUUGUCACAUUCAUCACAUUUGUGUAACUUCUCUCCAGUAUGAAUCAUCUUAUGUUUAGUAAGGG